AUCUAUGGCCAUGCCAUCUAGAAUGUGCCAGAUCUUGUCUGAUCUCAGAAGUUAAGCAGGGUUGGGCCUGGUUAAUACUUGGAUGGGAGACCACCUAGGAAGAACAGGUGCUAUUGGCA
rnacentral:rRNA from 1 species